CCUACGGGAGGCAGCAGUGGGGAAUAUUGGACAAUGGGCGAAAGCCUGAUCCAGCAAUGCCGCGUGUGUGAAGAAGGCCUUCGGGUUGUAAAGCACUUUAAGUUGGGAAGAAAAAGCUCUGGCUAAUAUCUAGAGCCUUGACGGUACCAACAGAAUAAGCACCGGCUAACUCUGUGCCAGCAGCCGCGGUAAUACAGAGGGUGCUAGCGUUAAUCGGAUUUACUGGGCGUAAAGCGUGCGUAGGCGGUUUGAUAAGUCGAUUGUGAAAGCCCCGGGCUAACCUGGGAAUUGCAGUUGAUACUGUCAGACUAGAAAACGGUAGAGGGAGGCGGAACUCCAGGUGUAGCGGUGAAAUGCGUAGAUAUCUGGAAGAACACCGAUGGCGAAGGCAACCUCCUGGGCCUGUUUUGACGCUGAGGCACGAAAGCGUGGGUAGCAAACAGGAUUAGAUACCCUGGUAGUCCACGCCGUAAACGAUGAGAACUUGACGUUGGUUUGCUUAGCAAAUCGGUGUCGUAGCUAACGCGAUAAGUUCUCCGCCUGGGGAGUACGGCCGCAAGGUUGAAACUCAAAUGAAUUGACGG
rnacentral:rRNA from 1 species